GGCCCUGAUUGUCCAAACGCAAUUCUUGUACAUUUUAUAUCAAGGACUGUGUAUGGACAUCAUCGCUC
rnacentral:pre_miRNA from 14 species